UACGUAGGGGGCAAGCGUUGUCCGGAUUUAUUGGGCGUAAAGCGCUCGCAGGUGGUCCGCUGCGUCGUGCGUGAAAGACCCCGGCUCAACUGGGGGAUGUCGUGCGAUACGGGCGGACUGGAGGCCAGUAGGGGGAUGCGGAAUUCCGGGUGUAGUGGUGGAAUGCGUAGAGAUCCGGAGGAAUACCGGUGGCGAAGGCGGCAUCCUGGACCAUUACUGACGCUUAAGCGCGAAAGCUAGGGGAGCAAACGGG
rnacentral:rRNA from 1 species